AAACCGUAGCAUGGGAAUUCUCAAUUUUCACCCUCCUCUGGAGAGAACCCCAGAUUGAGGAGCUGCAUCAUCGAAACAAGAGCUAACUCUGCGAGUCGAUCGAUCAGUUUUGAAUUGGGGCUCCCCGCGCUGAGCGACGGAGAAAAGAGCGUGUAGAGCGCGUCACUUACAAGGGCUUGCCUUUGUAUCAGCCAAAGCGAUGGCAUACAGUUUCAGGAAAAGGCUUGUGUGCCGUAAUUUGGUCAUUUCUUACCCAUUAUCAUAUCUAUGUUGCCAAUCCUAAUCUCAUUGCUGUAUAUUGGUUCCUGAUCUUCAUGCUUUAUCUCUUUGAGUUCAGGAUGAUUUUUUAUUUGAAAUGAUUAUCACAAAACUUUCUUUCAGGUGCUCAGAUAUGAACUAACUUUUUAAACAUCCAGCAAAGAACAAAAUUAAUUAAACCUUUAGAUAGAAUUAUGGAAUUUCCACGGUCAAUCUUCUAUUUUGUUAAUGCUUGAAAAUGUGGGCUUUUCCCUUAUCAAAGAAAGAAAUGUGGAGAUUGAAAGGUCUUGCUCUGGAGUGAAAUUGGUAAAGCUUCAUCAUGUGGGUAUUUUUCUUAUCUGUUCAUCUGGGUAAACAGGUGACUCUAUUAAAGAUUGAUUUUGAAAUUCUUUCAUGAUCAUUUAGCAUGACAAUUAAGUCAGUGAAUAUAGCUUUAUUGGAUCCAAGAAAAUAAUUAGAAAUUCCAGAAAUUUACCAGCAUCUACUCGGUGCUAAAUAAAUGUCUUAAAAUUGAAUUCCAAAUGACCUCCUUGCAUGUUUACUUCAUCCUCAUAAUAAUGUCUUGUUCAUUUAUCUUGCUAAACAUUUUAGUAAUCCUAGCAGCACAAUAGGCAUACUUGCUUACAUUGUUAGUAGACUUAAUGAAGAUUGUUUUAAUUAUUUUUGGUUUCAUGUUUUGGGUCCUAUACAAGGCUAAGCAAGAUGAUCUGCAGUGUUGGUGAGAGUUGAUGUUCUAGUAUCUUAUAAAUUCACAUUUGUGCUGUCUUCUAGGGCUGGACACUGGAGGUAUCCACGGAACGGCCUUAAUUGUUGUGGAUACUUGGAAUGGGACCUGUAAGAUGAAGAAGACGGUCAGGGAUCACCGAGGAAGUUUCCGGUGGAGACUCUCGGACGCUUAAGUCGGAUCUGGAAACUUUAUGGAAUUAAAGGAAGUAAAACAAAAUAGAGAAGAGAAGAAAAUGGUGGUUCUGGAUUCUCUCUGCAUGAUCGCCAAGAGAGAUAGAUUCCUCUUCCGAGAGAGAGAUUUUUUUUUAGGGUGUGUCCGGCAAUACAUUAAUGAUGGAUUAUAGGACAAUAAAUGCAGAGUUAAUCGGUUCAUACUCUUUACAUGCGCGCUUAUGAUUUCCAUGUUAAACUAAGGAGGCGAUCCCGUGUUAAAUUAAGGAGGCGACUAACUCAUAAGACGAUAUGGACUUUUCCUAUUAAUUUUUUAAUGAGCAUUUUGUUUAUUAAAUAUGCGGCAGUGAGAACACAUUCUAAACAAAAGUGCUUUGGUACAUUGGACUGUAUUCUUAAGGCUUUGACUGUAUUUAUGAUGUGCUUGUGCUUCCUUUCCACUACUCUAUUAUGCUAUAAAGGAUGUGGACAAGAUCUUUUAUAGAUAACACCUUUAAUUGUACAGGUGUAGGCAUAGUUAAGAAAUUCACUGCCAUUGUCUA